rnacentral:rRNA from 1 species
UACGUGGGGUGCGAGCGUUAAUCGGAAUUACUGGGCGUAAAGCGUGCGCAGGCGGCUUACUAAGACAGGUGUGAAAGCCCCGAGCUUAACUUGGGAAUGGCGCUUGUGACUGGUAGGCUGGAGUGUGGCAGAGGGAGGUGGAAUUCCACGUGUAGCAGUGAAAUGCGUAGAGAUGUGGAGGAACACCGAUGGCGAAGGCAGCCUCCUGGGCCAGCACUGACGCUCAUGCACGAAAGCGUGGGGAGCAAACAGG